AUUGAACGCUGGCGGAAUGCUUUACACAUGCAAGUCGAGCGGCAGCGCGGCCUUCGGGCUGGCGGCGAGCGGCGAACGGGUGAGUAAUGCAUCGGAACAUGCCCAGUCGUGGGGGAUAACACUUCGAAAGAAGUGCUAAUACCGCAUACGUCCUGAGGGGGAAGGCGGGGGAUCGCAAGACCUCGCGCGAUUGGAGUGGCCGAUGUCAGAUUAGCUAGUUGGUGGGGUAAAGGCCUACCAAGGCGACGAUCUGUAGCUGGUCUGAGAGGAUGAUCAGCCACACUGGGACUGAGACACGGCCCAGACUCCUACGGGAGGCAGCAGUGGGGAAUUUUGGACAAUGGGGGCAACCCUGAUCCAGCCAUUCCGCGUGAGUGAAGAAGGCCUUCGGGUUGUAAAGCUCUUUCGGCAGGAACGAAACGGUGGGCUCUAACAUAGUCCGCUAAUGACGGUACCUGAAGAAGAAGCACCGGCUAACUACGUG
rnacentral:rRNA from 1 species